GGACAACUAAUUUAAACUAAAAUAACUAAUUUCGACUUAGUCAAUCAUGGCUGAUAAACAUGGUUGCCCA
rnacentral:tRNA from 1 species